GCAAAGGCGGGGCGAUCGGCGUCGGUAAUACGUGUGGGGGGGGCGUGGUCCGGAAGUACGGGGCGGAAAGGGUUCGUAGGUGGGUUGGCGCGGUUGUAGGGAAAACUCACAGCUGAACUGGUGGCGUGCGGGCGAUACGGGCAGACUAGAGUACUGCAGUGGAGACUGGAAUUCCUGGUGUAGCGGUGGAAUGCGCAGAUAUCAGGAGGAACACCGGUGGCGAAGGCGGGUCUCUGGGCAGUAACUGACGCUGAGGAGCGAAAGCGUGGGGAGCGAACAGGAUUAGAUACCCCUGUAGUC
rnacentral:rRNA from 1 species